UUAGUGGCGGACGGGUGAGUAACGCGUGGGUAACCUGCCUUGUACUGGGGGACAACAGUUGGAAACGACUGCUAAUACCGCAUAAGCGCACAGCUUCGCAUGAAGCAGUGUGAAAAACUCCGGUGGUACAAGAUGGACCCGCGUCUGAUUAGGUAGUUGGUGGGGUAACGGCCUACCAAGCCGACGAUCAGUAGCCGACCUGAGAGGGUGACCGGCCACAUUGGGACUGAGACACGGCCCAA
rnacentral:rRNA from 1 species